rnacentral:rRNA from 1 species
AGCGUACACGGUGGAUGCCCUGGCAGUCAGAGGCGAUGAAGGACGUGCUAAUCUGCGAAAAGCGCCGGUAAGGUGAUAUGAACCGUUAUAACCGGCGAUGUCCGAAUGGGGAAACCCGGUGCACUUCGGUGCAUCAUCGUUAGCUGAAUACAUAGGCUAACGAAGCGAACCGGGGGAACUGAAACAUCUAAGUACCCCGAGGAAAAGAAAUCAACCGAGAUUCCCCCAGUAGCGGCGAGCGAACGGGGAACAGCCCAGAGCCUGAAUCAGCUUGUGUGUCAGUGGAACGGUCUGGAAAGGCCGGCGAUACAGGGUGACAGCCCCGUACACGAAGGCACACAGGCUGUGAGCUCGAUGAGUAGGGCGGGACACGUGAUAUCCUGUCUGAAGAUGGGGGGACCAUCCUCCAAGGCUAAAUACUCCUGACUGACCGAUAGUGAACCAGUACCGUGAGGGAAAGGCGAAAAGAACCCCGGCGAGGGGAGUGAAACAGAACCUGAAACCGUGUACGUACAAGCAGUGGGAGCCUUCGUAAGAGGGUGACUGCGUACCUUUUGUAUAAUGGGUCAGCGACUUAUAUUCUGUAGCAAGGUUAACCGUAUAGGGGAGCCGAAGGGAAACCGAGUCUUAAUUGGGCGUUAAGUUGCAGGGUAUAGACCCGAAACCCGGUGAUCUAGCCAUGGGCAGGUUGAAGGUUGGGUAACACUAACUGGAGGACCGAACCGACUAAUGUUGAAAAAUUAGCGGAUGACCUGUGGCUGGGGGUGAAAGGCCAAUCAAACCGGGAGAUAGCUGGUUCUCCCCGAAAGCUAUUUAGGUAGCGCCUCGUGAAUUCAUCUCCGGGGGUAGAGCACUGUUUCGGCUAGGGGGCCAUCCCGGCUUACCAACCCGAUGCAAACUGCGAAUACCGGAGAAUGUUAUCACGGGAGACACACGGCGGGUGCUAACGUCCGUCGUGAAGAGGGAAACAACCCAGACCGCCAGCUAAGGUCCCAAAGUCAUGGUUAAGUGGGAAACGAUGUGGGAAGGCCCAGACAGCCAGGAUGUUGGCUUAGAAGCAGCCAUCAUUUAAAGAAAGCGUAAUAGCUCACUGGUCGAGUCGGCCUGCGCGGAAGAUGUAACGGGGCUAAACCAUGCACCGAAGCUGCGGCAGCGACGCUUAGGCGUUGUUGGGUAGGGGAGCGUUCUGUAAGCCUGCGAAGGUGUGCUGUGAGGCAUGCUGGAGGUAUCAGAAGUGCGAAUGCUGACAUAAGUAACGAUAAAGCGGGUGAAAAGCCCGCUCGCCGGAAGACCAAGGGUUCCUGUCCAACGUUAAUCGGGGCAGGGUGAGUCGACCCCUAAGGCGAGGCCGAAAGGCGUAGUCGAUGGGAAACAGGUUAAUAUUCCUGUACUUGGUGUUACUGCGAAGGGGGGACGGAGAAGGCUAUGUCAGCCGGGCGACGGUCGUCCCGGUUUAAGCGUGUAGGCUGACUUUCCAGGCAAAUCCGGAAGGUUAAGGCUGAGGCGUGAUGACGAGGCACCACGGUGCUGAAGUGACAAAUGCCCUGCUUCCAGGAAAAGCCUCUAAGCAUCAGGUAACAUCAAAUCGUACCCCAAACCGACACAGGUGGUCAGGUAGAGAAUACCAAGGCGCUUGAGAGAACUCGGGUGAAGGAACUAGGCAAAAUGGUGCCGUAACUUCGGGAGAAGGCACGCUGACAUGUAGGUGAAGCCCCUGCGGGUGGAGCUGAAGUCAGUCGAAGAUACCAGCUGGCUGCAACUGUUUAUUAAAAACACAGCACUGUGCAAACACGAAAGUGGACGUAUACGGUGUGACGCCUGCCCGGUGCCGGAAGGUUAAUUGAUGGGGUUAUCGCAAGAGAAGCUCCUGAUCGAAGCCCCGGUAAACGGCGGCCGUAACUAUAACGGUCCUAAGGUAGCGAAAUUCCUUGUCGGGUAAGUUCCGACCUGCACGAAUGGCGUAAUGAUGGCCAGGCUGUCUCCACCCGAGACUCAGUGAAAUUGAACUCGCUGUGAAGAUGCAGUGUACCCGCGGCAAGACGGAAAGACCCCGUGAACCUUUACUACAGCUUGACACUGAACAUUGAGCCUUGAUGUGUAGGAUAGGUGGGAGGCUUUGAAGCGUGGACGCCAGUCUGCGUGGAGCCAACCUUGAAAUACCACCCUUUAAUGUUUGAUGUUCUAACCUGGCGCCGUGAUCCGGCGUGGGGACAGUGUCUGGUGGGUAGUUUGACUGGGGCGGUCUCCUCCCAAAGUGUAACGGAGGAGCACGAAGGUCAGCUAAUCCUGGUCGGACAUCAGGAGGUUAGUGCAAUGGCAUAAGCUGGCUUGACUGCGAGAGUGACGGCUCGAGCAGGUGCGAAAGCAGGUCAUAGUGAUCCGGUGGUUCUGUAUGGAAGGGCCAUCGCUCAACGGAUAAAAGGUACUCCGGGGAUAACAGGCUGAUACCGCCCAAGAGUUCAUAUCGACGGCGGUGUUUGGCACCUCGAUGUCGGCUCAUCACAUCCUGGGGCUGAAGUAGGUCCCAAGGGUAUGGCUGUUCGCCAUUUAAAGUGGUACGCGAGCUGGGUUUAGAACGUCGUGAGACAGUUCGGUCCCUAUCUGCCGUGGGCGCUGGAGAAUUGAGGGGGGCUGCUCCCAGUACGAGAGGACCGGAGUGGACGCAUCACUGGUGUUCGGGUUGUCAUGCCAAUGGCACUGCCCGGUAGCUAAAUGCGGAAGAGAUAAGUGCUGAAAGCAUCUAAGCACGAAACUUGCCCCGAGAUGAGUUCU